AGUCUGAACCAGCCAAGUAGCGUGCAGGAUGACGGCCCUAUGGUUGUAAACUGCUUUUAUGUGGGAAUAAAGUGGCGCACGUGUGCGCCAUUGCAUGUACCUCAUGAAUAAGGACCGGCUAAUUCCGUGCCAGCAGCCGCGGUAAUACGGAAGGUCCGGGCGUUAUCCGGAUUUAUUGGGUUUAAAGGGAGUGUAGGCGGUCUGUUAAGCGUGUUGUGAAAUUUAGGUGCUCAACAUUUAACUUGCAGCGCGAACUGUCAGACUUGAGUACACGCAGCGCAGGCGGAAUUCAUGGUGUAGCGGUGAAAUGCUUAGAUAUCAUGAGGAACUCCGAUCGCGAAGGCAGCCUGCGGGAGUGUUACUGACGCUUAAGCUCGAAGGUGCGGGUAUCGAACAGGAUUAGAUACCCUGGUAGUCCGCACUGUAAACGAUGGAUGCCCGCCGUUGGCGCCCUGCGCCUGCGGCCAAGCGAAGCAUUAAGCAUCCCACCUGGGGAGUACGCCGGCAACGGUGAAACUCAAAGGAAUUGACGGGGGCCCGCACAAGCGGAGGAACAUGUGGUUUAAUUCGAUGAUACGC
rnacentral:rRNA from 1 species